rnacentral:rRNA from 1 species
AAUGAACGCUGGCGGCAGGCCUAACACAUGCAAGUCGAGCGAGCGGCGGACGGGUGAGAAAUGCCAGGGAAUUGCCCAGUCGAGGGGGAGAAAAGUGGGAAACGAUUGCUAAAACCGCAUACGACAGGAAGGCACCGGUGGGUUUAGCUAGUUGGUGGGGUAAUGGCUCACCAAGGCGACGAUCCCUGGCUGGUCUGAGAGGAUGAUCAGCCACACUGGAAGUGAGCCACGGCCCAGACUCCUACGGGGGGCAGCAGUGGGGAAUAUUGCACAAGGGGGGAAACCCUGAGGCAGCCAUGCCGCGUGUGUGAAGAAGGCCUUCGGGUUGUAAGGCACUUUCAGCGAGGAGGCGUUACUCGCAGAAGAAGCACCGGCUAACUCCGUGCCAGCAGCCGCGGUAAUUC